UGAAGAACCCCAUUGGUUCAGACUAAUAUCAAUGUCUAAAUCUUGUUUCCAAACCUGUAUGGCAGUAGGGUUUAUAUCUUUUGCCAUUGAUUUAGUUAAUAUCAGAGCUUUAGAGAGUGGUCUAUUAGUUUUUUUUGACGUAAAUAAUGAAUCAAUCAAAUUGCUCAAAUUAGAUUUUGGUAUUAUAAGGAAUGUAUUCAUAUAACUUUUAAGUCUUAAAAAAUUAAACACCUCUCUA